rnacentral:lncRNA from 1 species
UGCUCUUCAUGUUCGUUGGAUCGGGCUGCAUUGCUUGUUGUCCGUGUCAUUUCGUGAUUUGUUCUAACAGAUGAAAGGAAUAAAGUGUGCUUUAGUAGUAGUUGUAGUAGCAGCAGCAGCAGCGCUUUAGUAGUAGUAGUAGCAGCAGUGCUUUAGUAGUAGUAGUAGGUUGAAGAGAGGAGAAGAGAGACCAGCAGUGCUUUAGUAGUAGUAGUAGUAGUAGUAGGUUGAAGAGAGGAGAAGAGAGAGUAGCAGUGCUUUAGUAGUAGCAGCAGUGCUUUAGUAGUAGUAGUAGUAAAAGAAGAAGAAACUCAUGUGCUCUCAAAUUAGCGGGUUGCUGCUUUAUAGAGCUAUCCGCUGCUCUGUGGUGAUCAUAGAUCAUAGACUUAUAUGACAGUCACUAAUAGGUUAAGAGAAAACCCAUUUGCACUACAAGACCGAAACCUCAGGGGGAGGCUAGUAUCCAAUGGCACUCCAUUCGAGACGAGUUUCCCCCCGAAGCUUUCGGUCUAGGAGAAGCUAUGGGUAUUUGACUGUCAUGUUGUCUCACUACACCUUUUGUAUCAUCGAGCAAGAAAUUUUGAAAAAAAAAAGUAGUACAAGUAGUAAAGGCCUCAGUACCAUGUCAAUCAUCAUUUGAUCAUAAACUUGGAGCAUAAAGGCAUCGUAAUAGAGAAGAUGAGGUCAUAUAGGGGCCGCUGGUAACGAUGCCAAGUUCCUCACAAGUUCUUGAUCAUCAGCUCAUAUUCCAUAUAAUGAAUGGACUUAGACAAUCUCAUCAUCGGCAAAACAAAGGAGAGAAGAAAAAUAGAAGAGGAGAGUAGUAGUAGUAUAGAGGAGCACAGUUUAUAAAACUGUCAUAGAGAGGGUAGUAGUAGAGUUGGGCACAACAGCAGUAGUAGUAGGAUUACAGUAAGCCCCAACAGUAGUGUAGUACUAGUAGAGUACUAGAGUAGAGCAGCAGCUAGCACUAGUAGUAGACUAGUGCAGUAGUGUUGGAGAGAGGACGAGAGUAGAAAAUAGAAGAGAGAUAGAAGGAGCAGAGAGGAAGGAGAGGUGAGGAGAGGGAAAGGUUUAAAAAAGGCCUCAGAAACAUGUCUAGCAUCAUUUGAUUAAGAACUUGGAGCAACAAGGCAUCAAAACAGAGAACAAGGCACUAUAGAGGCAGCUAGUAAUGAUGCCAAGUUACUCAUAAGUUUUGGAUCAUCAGCUCAUAUUCUAAAAUAAUGUAUUGAAUUAGACAAUUUCAUCAUCGGCAAAACAAUAGUAGAGGAGAGAGAGUAUAGUAGUAGUAUAGAGGGGCACGGUUCAAAAAAUGUCACCAAUUCAAAAUUAUGCCAGUAAGCCACCACAACAGUAGAGUAGUAGUAGUAGUAGUAGAGAGGAGUGGCAUAUAAGCAGCCUGCUAUAUAAACAACAGUAAUUAUGCCUCAGUAUAUAAAACUGUCAUAGAGAGAGUAGUAGUACAGUUGUAGUACAAAAGCAGUAGUAGUAGGAGGAUUACAGUAAGCCACAAAUUAAAAUGACAGUAAGCCACCAGAAAUCAACACAGUUGGACAGCAAGUACUAAUCAAGAGGGGGACGGUCAAGAAUGUAGCAUUAAUGUGGAAUUGUUUUUAGCUUUGAUUGUACCUAUUUGACUUAGACAAUCGCUAAAAUAUUGUCAUAAUCAGAAGCCAAGUCCUAUAAUGUUGUGUCUUCUAAAGUUAAUAUAAAAAACAAUGGCAUCGAGCAAAAAUCAUGUGAACGUAACCAAUAAUAGGUAACCAGUGACUGAACUAUGUAACUUGUGGGAGAAAUAAGAAACAGAUUGACUAUCAAAUGAUCAGCUAAUACAAGGCAUAGAAGUCAAAGUAAACAGAUUGACUAUCAAUGAUAAUGGAACAAACUAGAAGUCAAAGAUCAUACAAAUAGAGUUCAGAGUCAAACAUAAAGAUAAUAGAUGAUUGAGGGAACAUUUCCUGAAUCCAUAAUAAUAUUCAUGUCAAAUAUGACUCAGGCAAAAGCAUCAUUAACCAAAAUGUUCAGAAGAAAGCAACAACAAUUAUUUUAUAAACUAAAAGCUAGUAGGAAGAUAACAAUUAAUUUAUAAACUAAAAAUUAAUAGACCUAUUUCAAGUCACAACGGUAUUAGCAGAGUCCACCGAGUACACCUUAAUACAGAGAUAGGCAGAACACUCAGUUGUAGCGGUAGGACAGCAAAAGUCUGGCCAAAAAUUUCAGUGACAUGAAAGCAUAUGCAUUGCCUAGAACAAAAUGCUUGAAUAAAUAUAGUUUGUCAAGAUUCAAAUUCCUUCUGAGUUAUGCAACUAAUUGUCAAGAUUCCAAAGGUUCAAGCUACAAACUGGCAUAAUCAAUAGUCAAGACUCAAGAGACUAUGCUAAAUGCCAGUUGAGAUAAAGGAAAUUGCAAACCAAACUUUAUGACAGGGACAAGUUGACCAUGUAUUAAUGCUUUUAUGCUGUUUUUUUGGCAUAAAAAUAAAUGGCAUAUGUGUAGUUGUGUAAAAUUGGUGGGUUAGAAAACUGGACAUAUGUAGCUACUAGAGCACCAUUUAAAAAAAUGAAUCAGGCCACUGAGAGUCAGCUUAAACCACUUGGACGAAUAACAGAUUCCAACUUCCAAGUUAAACAUUGCAUAUAUUUAAUUUUGUACUAUUUAAGUGAGCAAAGUCACAUGCUGAUAUCUGUUUCUAGACCUUUGGAGGAGAGCAAAGUGAGCAAAGUCACAGACCUUUGGAGGAGAAGGAGAGAGUCGCGGACGGGCGGCGCCUAGGGUUCCUAGCAGGCGGAGUGCCCAGGCUCACCGACGGGCGGGCGGCCGCGCGUGGAGCUUCGGCCCUCGGCGACGUCUAGGGUUCUGACAGGGCGGAGCGCACGGGCUCGCACAUGGACGGAAGCAGGUCGCCGAGCUCGCGGAAGAAGAGCUCGUGGACGCGCCGAAGAAGAGCUUGUGGACGACCGAGGUCCUGGGCCAGACUCGCCGAGCUCGUGGAGGCGCGCGUGGGUGGGCGGCCGUGUGCAGAUCUAGCUCCCGGCGGCAGCAGAGUGGUGGCGUGGCACGGGCACCGGCGAAGGAGGAGGGGGAGGAGAGCGCGGGGAGGAGAGUGGUGGCGUGGCACGACACCGGCGAAGGGGGAGGGGGAGGAGAGCUCAGAGAGGAGAGUGGUGGCGUGGAAUCGGGCGGCGACGGCUAGGGUUCCGAUCGGAUCGGGGGGGAAUCGGGCAGCCUGACGGCGUCCAACUGUGAAUGUGAACGCCCUGACUUAGGCGCUGCGAACGGACCGGGGCUUUUAUGGAGGGCAGCCCCACUGUAAGGGCGGUUCAGAUGUGAACCGCCCUUAUUGUGGUUUUCUUCAAAUUUAAAAUCAUUUUUUUAAUAUACUUAAAGUUCAAAAUGUAUUUAUAUAAUAAUUUUAAUUUAUUCCAUGUAUUUUCAUAUUUAAUUUAUAUAUAUUAUAUAAUUUCAAACUAUUCCAAGUAUUUGUAUAUUUAAUUUAUAUACAUUAUAUAAUUUCAAACUAAAUUGGUUUGGAAUUAAAAAAUAGAUUUGUGUAAAUUUAAAAAUACUUUAGUGCCUCACUAGACCUAAUAUGUAAUAAUUUUGAAUUAUUUCAUACAUUUUUAUGAUUAAUUUAUAUAUUUAUAUAUAUAUAUAUAUAUAUGCAAAGUUUAUUCUUUUUUGUCUACAUUGACCAAGUCAAACAUUGGAUUUUUGACAAAAUACACUUUGACCGGACCCGAGAUGGUCUCAGAUGAAAAAGUUAUUAAUACAAAGUAUGUUCCCCUUAUCAAGAUACACAUUUGUUGUAAUGGUCAACUUUUCAUCUGAGAUGGUUUGGACCACUAAAAUUUUGAAUUUUCAAAUUUUCACUGCUACACGCACGUUUUCGGGACCCUAGACGGCCCCAACUCCGAAAGUCAUGAAUAGCAAUUUUGUUCCACUCAUCAAGAUCUACAUUUGAUAUAUAGGACAUUUUUGCAUUUGACAAAGCAUUAAGAAAGUGUAGUUCUAAAUCCACAAGUCCCGCAUGUAGUUUCAUAAAGUCUAUGUGUGAUUCAAGACUUUGUGACUAGAAUUUACAAACACUUUCUCAAAUGCAAAAAUGUCCUAUGUAUGGAAUGUGUAUCUUGAUGAGCUCUAUCUACCUUGUAUUCAAAAGUUUUUCAUUUGAGGUCAUUUACUCACUCGUUUGACCAGGUUUGACCAAGCCACGCCUUGGGUUUUCAAAACAUGUGAACUGAGUUUUCUGUAACUUUUCCAAAUGCAAAAAUGUAUUGUGUAUCAAAGGUAGACCUUGAUGAGAUCUAACUAUGUUGUAUUCAAUUUUUUUUCAUUUGAGGUCUUUUAUUGCCUAGUUUAGGGUUUUUUUUUUCAUUUUUUUCAUUUCGGGACCCUAGACGGCCCCAACUCCGAAAGUCAUGAAUAGCAAUUUUGUUCCACUCAUCAAGAUCUACAUUUGAUAUAUAGGACUCUUGACAGCACUCGAUGACUUCUUCACUACUGUAGCCCUCUAUCAUAGAGCCCUUUGGGUAUGCACAAUUAUGCACAUAUCGACUUAGAACCGACAUGAACCGCUCAUACGACCACGUUUCAUGCAAGUAGCAAGGGCCCAAUGCCUGUAUCUGAUGAACCAUGUGAAUCAUGAGAUGUACCAUAGGGUCGAAGAAAGAGGGAGGUAAACACAUCUCUAGUUGGUUUUGGGUCUCUACGACAAAAUCAUGUAGGUCACUCAGCUCUGUCUUGCUAAUCUUCUUCUGUGAGAUCUUUGACCAGAAGUAGCACAUGCGGGUGAUAGCCAUCUUCAAAAACUCUGGCUUGAUAGCCCUUAUUGCGAUUGGUAGGAACACCGUCAACAUAAUAUGACAAUCGUGAGCCUUGCAGUGUGGAAAUGAUAGGUCCUUCAUCGACACUAGCUUCUUCGGGUUUGCCGAAAACCCAGUCAGGACUUUGAUCCCCUUCACAGAAGUGCAUAAACCUCUCAUCUCUUCUAGGUCCACGUUGUAGCUAGCCGCGGGUAGGGUGUAUUUUCCAGUUUUUGUCUCAAGUACCGGGUGAAGCUCUGGCAUCACAUGUAGCUGCUCCAUGUCUCUCCUUGCUUUGAGACUAUCCUUUGACUUCGGUGUGUCCAUCAAGGUAGCGAUGAGAAUCUCAAAGACAUUCUUCUGCACAUGCAUAGCAUCAAUGGCAUGGGGGGCCUCCAAUUGUGGCCAAUAUUCAAGAUACUGAAAGAAGAUUGACUUUUUCUUAAAAGGCACGCCUUCAAUAGGAGGUGUGCUUCUAUCUCUAGGUGUUCCAUCCAUUUUCUUCUUUCCAUAGAUGACGCUUAUAUUUUUCACCAUUUGGAACACAUAUUGUCCAUCAUGACGUCUCUCCGGAGGUCGAUCUUCAUCCUCUGGGAUGUUGCCAAAAUACUUUAAGUACACUUUGCUGCGGUACUUGUGACCUUGCUUUAAAAAGCGACGAUUCCUGAUGUAAACAGUCUUCUUAGAUCCAUCUAGGUACACCCAUUUAGUAUCAUCCAGACAGACUAAGCAUCCUGUCUUGCCUUUG